UACGUAGGGGGCAAGCGUUGUCCGGAUUCAUUGGGCGUAAAGAGCGUGUAGGCGGCCAGGUAGGUCGGUUGUGAAAACUGGAGGCUCAACCUUCAGAGGUCGACCGAAACCAUCUGGCUAGAGUCCGGGGAGAGGAGAGUGGAAUUCCUGGUGUAGCGGUGAAAUGCGCAGAUAUCAGGAGGAACACCAAUGGCGAAGGCAGGUCUCUGGGCAUUAACUGACGCUGAGGAGCGAAAGCAUGGGGAGCGAACAGG
rnacentral:rRNA from 1 species